CAUUAACGUCAUCUUGAAAGGGCCCCUGCCCUCAUGGGUGAAGUUUAAUGUUGACGGGUCCAUCCACGGGGGAGUUAUUCACGGCGACAAUGUCUAUCGGGAUGAGUUUGGUAAUGUGCUCGACUAUUUUCACUUUUCCGAUGGUCGAGAGAGGCUUUUGAAGCGGAGUUUUUUGCUCUCCUGAGCGCUCUUGAGAUUGCCUACUAGCAGGGCUGGAGCCAUAUAUGGAUCGAGAUGGACUCCAUGUUUGUUACUCAGGCCUUCGCCAGUCAAUCUCUUCGGAUUCCACGGCGAUACGUGGGGCGUUGGGCGCAAAUUCGAGCCAAACUUCCCUUUCACCGUGUACGCGUCACUCAUAUAUACCGUGAAGGGAACCAACUGGAGGAUCACAUAGCCUCCCGAGUCCAGUCUGAAGCUUGGUGGGAUCAUGCAAUCCCUGAGAUUUCCUAUCUUGUCGCAACGGAUGUGGCCAGGCCCUUCUUUGUUCGAAUGGUGAAUUAGGCGGGGGCUGACUGUCUUAUUUUGGCGGUUUGUUUAUCGUUGGGGUUUUGUCUUGUUUAUUGUUUUAGCUUGUACUUCUAGUUUAUUCGCUCCCUUCGGAGUUUUUCACUUGAGCAUACGUCUUGGGUAUAUCUUAUGUGGCAAAACAAUUCCACAUAAGUUAUUUUAUUUAAAUUUUAAAUUUAAUUUCUAAAUUACCUAAAAAUGAAUCGAGAAAUAGAAAUCCCUAAAAAUACUUCAUCUUCCCCAUUUCAAUACAAAUCAUAACAGACCCCCGUCACCGACAUCACCUUCGUGACAACAUCGAGCAAUGGUUUGCCACCACCACCGCCAGCGCCGUCUGCCCCGUCACCAAGCCGCCACCUCAUCCAAGCAUGGUGCACCGCAAACGCCAUCGAUCAGAUUCCCACCCCCAAAUCCCCACUCCAAAGAUCGUUUGUCAUCAAACUAAUCCGCGAUGUCAACUGAAGAGACGAUUCUCCUCCAUGUAUUUUGGACUUAAGGCGGAAUAGGCACCUGUGCUCAUCGUAUAGCAAACAGAUGGACAUAAGUAUCUUAAAGCAAACGAAGAGCCUGACCAGAUUGAGUCGUGGGUGAAAGAUUAUUUGGGGAGGAAUGGAGACAUUAAGACCAGCUCUGCAGCGAGUUUACAUGACCAGAACUUCUGCUUAUAGAGAUGCACUUAAAAGUUUUAUUGAAGGCUAUCAAGAGGGUAUACAACAUGCUAUGGAGAAGAAGGAAGAUUCCAAAAAUCAACAAGGACCUGACCAUCCAAAAGGAUAAAUUUCAUUCAUAUGACACGAUUAUAAAUGAGCUUGGGUAAUAAGUGGGUAUUAUUAUACGAGUUCGGGACAAGAUUCAGUUGUAACAUUAUUUUUUUUGUAUGACUAUAUAUAUUUUUUUUUACUUUUUUAAUCUUAAUUUUGUUAUUUAGUUUAUUUAUAUUAAUAUUUACUUUGUAAUGUCGAUUUGUUACUGUGAAAGAUAAUUAAUUAGUGCAACAAUUUAUUUUUAUA